rnacentral:misc_RNA from 1 species
CCAAACUUGGUCAUUUAGAGGAAGUAAAAGUCGUAACAAGGUUUCCGUAGGUGAACCUGCGGAAGGAUCAUUAACGAAUUUAAACAAACGGGCUGAGGUUGUAGCUGGCCUUUUCUUAAUCGAGAGGUAUUGUGCACGCCUUGGUUUGUUGUUUUUUCCAAAUUCUCUACACCUCUGUGCACUUUACAUAGAAAGGACUGCGAGUUUUUGUUGUUGUUGCGCGAGUUUUUUUGUGAAAGGUUUUUUUUCUCUUCGAAGAAGCCAAGUAACUAAAUCCUCAACCGAUGAUAUCAAGUUCUCUCUCUCUCUUUUUCUGUGGUUCAUACAUUUAUACCAGUCAGUUUAGAAUGUAAAUCAUCGCGUUUAACGCAAACUAUAUACAACUUUCAGCAACGGAUCUCUUGGCUCUCGCAUCGAUGAAGAACGCAGC